GCGGCUGUAGCUCAGUUGGUAGAGCCCCGGAUUGUGAUUCCGGUUGUCGUGGGUUCAAUCCCCAUCAGUCGCCCCA
rnacentral:tRNA from 2 species